UAUCUCGCUCUCUUUAAGGAGAUUCAAGCCCACUGCAACAAAUCUUUACCAGUCCAGCAGUAGUCUUCCUGACUUGUGAUACAACAGCCCGACCACAUCGUAUAACUCAACAAACUCUAGACAAGAUGUUGAGUCUAAAGCUCCACCAAAAAAACACCUUCCUUCAAUUAAAUAAAACUCUUUUUUUUAUAACUCAGUUUUCAUGCACUCUAUAUUUUUCUCUACCCACCAAAAGCUACGGAAGACUUCUAUUAAUAGUUUAGAAAUUCAUCCUUGGAGUGAAUAGGAAGAGAAACGGGAUAAUAAUGUGAGUAAAUAAUGAGAGAAUUAUUUCUUAGGGGUUACAUGAGUUACAAGAAGAAUGUGGGUAAGUUAAUGUGAUAAUGGAGAAAUGAGUUACAAAGAAACUUAUGGCCUCAUUAUGCCACCAGAACGUGAGAGUUCAAAGAGACCAUUCACUGCCUCUUAAUGGCCACAAAUAAAUAGGAUUAAAAUGUGAAUGCAGCAACACAGAACGUGUGGCAAUGGCAUAAUGCACUUUAAUGCAAUAUCAUUUAAUAUUAAAAUGUUCUAAAGGUCCAUCAGUUUGGAUGUCUUUCGUUUUACUUUUUUCUUAAUAACAGCUAGCGCGCAUAUCAACUAUUUCACCGGGCACUUGCAUCCUCUCAUCAUGUCUCGGGUAACUCUACCCACCAAGGUUUAGGUUGAUGGGAAGAAAUCGCCUAACUUUUUAUUUCUGCUAAGGUUUGAACUAUGGUAAUUUUGCCAACUUCAUCAACAACCUACAAGUCUUUAACUGCUGGUGAACAAUCAAAGUUGAUCUUUUUGAGCAUCAGCAUUGCGUGUAUACUUUUCGACUGCAGAUUGUAAUAUAUCCUUACUCAGGUUUGUCUAUUUCAAAAUGCAGUAUUAAAAGUUUCUAACCAAAGGCCUCUGCCUUUUUAGGAAUCGAAGUAUGGCCAGGAAAGCAUAUCCACAGCCACAAUUACCGGGUUCCUGAGCCUUUUCGAGAUCAAGGGGUGCCACAAGUGCUACUGAUAUCUCCAGAGAAAUUGCUGCAGUUGCUAAAGCGGUCCAUAUUUCUUCUAGAUCAGCUCUAAGUGGGACUCCCACAAAGCUGCAUGGAUAUAAAAAUCUUUGGCUGCACUCUAUGAUUGAAUCUGUUGGUAUAGAUGGUACAGUCAAUUAUCAAGACGGGUCCAAAGUCUAUGCUGAUAUCAUCCUACAUUGGACAGGGUA